UACAGAGGUCUCAAGCGUUGUUCGGAUUCAUUGGGCGUAAAGGGUGCGUAGGUGGCGCCGUAAGUCAGGUGUGAAAUUUCGGAGCUUAACUCCGAAACUGCAUUUGAUACUGCGGUGCUUGAGGACUGGAGAGGGAGACUGGAAUUUACGGUGUAGCAGUGAAAUGCGUAGAGAUCGUAAGGAAGACCAGUGGCGAAGGCGGGUCUCUGGACAGUUCCUGACACUGAGGCACGGAAGGCCCAGGGGAGACAAACGGG
rnacentral:rRNA from 1 species